rnacentral:rRNA from 1 species
GUUGUAAGCGACCCGUCUUGUAACACGGACCAAGGAGUCUAACAUGUGUGCGAGUGCUCGGGGUAAACCCCCCAGCGCGAAAUAAACGUAAAGGUGAAUUUAUUCACUUAGGUAGGAUCCUUAGGUGCACUAUCGACCGACCAUGAUCCUCCGGGAGAAAGGUUUGAGUGUGAGCAUACAUGUUGGGACCCGAAAGAUGGUGAA